rnacentral:rRNA from 1 species
UACGGAGGGUGCAAGCGUUAUCCGGAUUCACUGGGUUUAAAGGGAGCGUAGGUGGCUUUGUAAGUCAGUGGUGAAAUCUUAGAGCUUAAACUCUAAAAACUGCCAUUGAUACUGCUUAGCUUGAAUCACGUCGAGGUGGAUGGAAUAUUACAUGUAGCGGUGAAAAUGCUUAGAUAUGUAAUAGAACACCGAUUGCGAAGGCAGUUCACUAGGCGUGUAUUGACACUGAGGCUCGAAAGCGUGGGGAUCAAACAGG